CCAGCCUCCUCUUAAACAUGACAAAGAAUCCAAGGACUUGUGCUGGGGCUGUCAGCUGCUAUUCUGGUGCCCUGGGGACGAAGAAGGGAUCUGGAGGGAAGACUGUCACCCUCUUGCGAAUGUUUCCAAGAAGCAGCUCAGCAUGGGAGAGAAAAGGGGAGAUCCCAGUUCCAGGAACACCUGGCCAGUGUUUCACCUGUUUAUCGGAGUUGACAGGACCAGCCAGCCCUUUCCCACCUCUCCCCAUCAUGAUGGAUGGGAGCCUGGCCUUUGAGAAAGCACAGAACGUGGCACGUUGGAGGAAAUCAGUAAGUGUUUGCUAAAGGUCCAACAAUGAAACAGAACAGAUAUAUCCAGUGCUAUGCCGCGUCAAAAGAGUAUGAGAGGUAUUGUGGUGAUGCUUUUGAAUGCUAAUCAGAAUAAGGAGGGUGACUAGUCCAUAGUUAUAUAGAAUAUAGGAUAUACAGAAUAUACCUUUUUCUGUAACGGGAUGUGUCACUUAACUUUGUUCCUUAAAGCUCCAGAAGCCCAAGGUCACCCACAAUGAUUCAAGUAUUAUCAAUGUUGAGAGCCUGUAAAAGCAUCAAGUAUAUUAUAGUUUCCAAAAAAUUGUGAAUUAGACUGAAAACCAGCAUUUAAAAAAUAAAGUGAUGUUGACUUAAACACUGGUUUUAUAUACAUGCCGCAUAUGAGCUGUGGAGGCCGCUCACAUGCCAGCGUACUGGUUCAUCUGCAAUGGGCAGGCGGGCCAUACCCCACUGGGGAGAAAUCUUAUGGGCUUCAGAAAUGUCUAAUGAAAUAAGAUUUUUAACUAGUUCAAAAUCGGAGUUCAGAAACAGUUCAGUUAAUAUUUAAGUGUCGAGUUAAGAGAGGAGGUUGAACAAAAUUCAUUUUGAAGCUUUCACAGAGUUUUUAAAAAGCAAAACUUUAGACUUAAAAUGGACUGUUUUAUUAUAUGCAAUGCACGUGAAUAUUAAAUGUAUGUUAAGUUUUUCAUUUAGCAGAUUUCUCCCCAGACUUUUAAAACCACCACCAAAAAAUAUUUACAUAUUCUCUCCUCUCCCCCAAAGCAUCCCUCCCGUACACAAAUACCCUUAUUUUGAGACCGUGUUGCUCUAGAUUAAACCAGUUCUUCCAAGAGCAGCCCGUAGGAUUCUGCUCCAUCCAGAGCAAGGCCCUUGGCUAAAGUCACUGCCUCUGCUUGACUGAGCCGGGCUGGGAAUCUCAUUAUGGAAGCUUUCCACCUCCUUCCCAAGCCAGCCCUCUAGCGGAGGCCAAGAUUGCGUCAUCGGUCCUGGGCCUCAUCCCUCCUUGCCUGAGGCCUGCUCACCUAAUGUGUUUCAGGAGCAUUCCAGCAGCCAGGCCUUCAGUUGCUCCCCGAUCCCAGAUGGGGAAAACCUUGUGCGGCACAUUUGCCUCAGGAAGACUGCACUGGGCUCCCCGGCGCCCCUAGGACAGCGUCCCUUCACGUCGGAGAGACUGGGUGUGGGCCGUGAGGUUUAGGAGGCUUUAGGAGAAGGAAGAUCCUCUCUCAGGAGUGAAAUGAUCUUAUCUGAGAGGAUGGAAGUGGUGAGGGCAUCAGCAUGGGUCCUGGGCUGCGGCUGUGCCUCUUCCUCCCCAUGCUGACACGUGCUUGCCCACAAGCGCCCCGGGCCUCUACAUCUCUUGGUAGUUUAAAGCUCUAUUUUAGUCUCAACUAGCAGUUUCUCUCACUGGUAGAUCUAAGUUCUAAGACUAUUCAAUGGGUUCUGUUUCUUUUUUUAAGAAUUAAAAAAACUGUUCCAGUUAAUUCACGGUCACUAUGAAAAAAAUAGGCAGGACAUGUAAAUAAAAGAUUAAAAUAUAUACAAAUCAAAGAAGGAAGUACACCCAGGCCAGUUAUCAGGCAAGCUUGCCAGACAUCAAUCCAGCAAGAAAACGAUAGUGUGCUUUGAAAAUGCCAAAUCCGGCCGGGCGGGCGGCUCCCGCCUGUGAUCCCGGCACUUUGGGAGGCCGAGGCGGGCGGAUCACGAGGUCAGGAGAUCGAGACCAUCCUGGCUAACACGGUGAAACCCCGUCUCUACUAAAAAUACAAAAAAUUAGCCGGGCGUGGUGGCGGGCGCCUGUAGUCCCAGCUACUUGGGAGGCUGAGGCAGGAGAAUGGCGUGAACCCGGGAGGCGGAGCUUGCAGUGAGCCGAGAUGGCACCACUGCACUCCAGCCUGGGCAACAGAGCAAGACUCUGUCUCAAAAAAAAAAAAAAAAAAAAAGAAAAAGAAAAGAAAAUGCCAAAUCCGGCCAGGUGCGGUGGCUCAUGCCUGUAAUCCCAGCAUUUUGGGAGGCCAAGGCGGGUGGAUCACCAGAAGUCAGGAGUUCAAGACCAGCUUGACCAACAUGGAGAAACCCCGUCUCUACUAAAAAUACAAAAUUAGCUGGGCAUGGUGACGCAUGCCUGUAAUCCCAGCCACUCGGGAGCCUGAGGCAGGAGAAUCACUUAAACCCAGGAGGCAGAGGUUACUGUGAGCCAAGAUCGUCCCAUUGCACUCCAGCCUGGGCAACAAAAGUGAGACUCUGUCUCAAAAAAAAAAAAGAAAAAAGAAAGAAAAAAAGAAAAUGCCAAAUCCAUUACUUCUUUGGGAACCUCAGGUGUAACCGCUGGUGUGCUGUGGAUGACACAGCAUCACUGGGAUCUGGUGCCUGGUAUGAGCUGUGUGAAGGAGUAGGAGUGUGCUCACCCAUCCGCAGGGCCACCGUUGGUCACUGUCCUACAUUUUCCCUCCUUGCUCCCAGGGCUAGUCCUGGUUAGGUGUGGGCGGCAAUCUGGGGACAGCAGUCAGCUUGCUGUCUGCUCCACUCUGCAACAAACUGCCUUCCUCAGUGCCCACCCCAACGGAGAAGGAACAAAUGGUCUUCUGUUUGGAUGGAGGAGAGGAUUUGUAUCUGUUCUCAGCUGCCUGUGGGUUUGUGCUUCCCACCUGCCUGCCCAGGCCUCAUCUGAUGUAUCAGGAGUCCUCUGGGCGGGCACCAAUGAGGGCAGCCUUUCAACUAAUCCGGGGUGCCACCGAGGAGCUGGAGUGCGAGCUCUUUGGCCCUAUGGGAAGCUCCCCUGGGAGGCUGCACUCUUUUCUACCAGUGAAUGUUCUUUCACCCACUUCCUGCGGGCGCUGGCCAGAUCCUCUGUGAGCAGUGGAGCUUGGCAUGGUUCAGCGUGGAGCAGCCCUCCCAGCCACCCAGGGAAAUCUCUCCAUUCAAUUACCUCCUGGCUUCCCACGCGUGGCCCAUUAGCCUUGUCUGGGGCUCUUAUGCAUCAGGAUUUAUCAUUGUGCAGCACCUGCGGGGGAGCUUGCCCCAGGCUUUGAAGGUCCUUCUGCAGAGGAGCUUAGGCAGGAGCAGGGGGCGCACGGAGGAGGUUUCUCUCAGUGGAGGAGCACGUGCUAUGAUUUCCUAGCCUGCUGUUGACGCUCCAUUGCGGUCCUCAUCACUUCAGAGCACUUUCAUUCUUAUUUUAUUUUUAAAUUUUUAAAAGAGACUGGGUCUCUUUUGUUGCCCAGGCUAGAGUACCGUGCUGUGAUCACAGCUCCCUGGAGGCUUAAACUCCUGGGCUCAAGCAAUUCUCGUGUCUCAGCCCCCUGAGUCGCUAAGACUACAGGUGGGCAUCACCAUGCCUGGCUAAUUGAUUUUAUUUUUUAGAGAUGAGCUCUUGCCACGUUUCCCAGACUGUGCUUGAACUCCUGGCCUCAAGCAAUCCUCCCACUUCAGCCCCAAGAGUUGCUGGGAUUACAGGGGGAAGCCACCUUGUCCGGCCCAGAAGCACUUUUCAAAGCCUCUUACGUUGGAUGCUGUAGGUUCCAUGCGACAAUGACACUAAUUAUGAUUUAAGCAGCACCUACUAGAAAGGAGCGUGUCUCAUACAUUAUUGAUCACUCUUAAAACUGCCUAGCUCCACGUGGUGGCUCACUCCUGUAAUCCCAGCUCUUUGGGAGGCUGAGGCAGGCGGAUCACCUGAGGUCAGCAGUUCGAGACCAGCCUGGCCAACAUGGCGAAACCCCCUUUCUCUACUAAAAAUACAAAAAUUAGCCAGGCGUGGAGGCGCGUGCCUGUAAUCCCAGCUACUUGGGAGGCUGAGGCAGGAGAAUCACUUGAACCUGGGAGACGGAGGUUGCAGUGAGCCGAGAUUGCACCACUGCACUCCAGCCUGGGUGACAGAGUGAGACUCCAUGUAAAAACAAACAAACAAAGAACCCCAAACUGCCUAGCUCCAUUUUGUUCAACAAGAGGCUCAGAGAGUAUGUUUGAGGUCACCCACGUGUGUAUUUUACGUCUAAAACCUCUCCUGACCCUCGAAUGACCCACUCCUGGCUGUAGUCAGUUAGGUCUGUUCAGCCGCAGGAGAGGAGGCUCACAACGGCCAGGCAGGCUCCGAUCUUCUCAAUGUGGUCCCUCGCUGUGGCGGCUUAGCUUAGAUCUUCUCUCAAACUCAGGCCGCUAGAGGGUCCCCACCGGGAAAGGGACACGCCAGGGCGUGGGGCAGGUCUGGAGCGGCCCGGGGCCGGGUGGAUCCCGGCGCUCUGCUUUUACCUGGCAGGCGGGAGCGGUCCGGCGGGGCGUGGGCGCAGCGGGGGCCCGGGGCUGGAGGGGAGGGGACGGAGGGGGCAGGAGGGGGAGGGCCGGGAGGAGCCAGCAAGCUGGCGGCGGCGGCGGCCUUGAGCCACUGGCUGGGGCUGGUUGUGGCCGAGGCUGUGGCGAGAGGCGGGGCCGCUGGUGUGGCCAACGAGCCCGUAAUGAAGCCCGGCGCCUGAGUCCCCUUUGUUCCCGGGGAACUACUUAAAAAGCCCCCUCCUCAGUCCCCGUGCGGGGCGAAUGAGGACAAUGGCCGGAGUCGCAGUGGGCAGAGCGGAACGCCCCCUUCAGAGAGGCCUUUCCAGCCGCGCGGCCCGGGGGACUGCAGGCGGGGCGCGCGCUGCCCUUCGAGGCCAAGAGGCCAACGGUGAAACAACAAAGAUUUUUUUUUUCUUUCUUUUUUCUUUUUUUUUUAGAAAGAAAUCUCGCCAUUGCCGGGAAUGGGUAAAUCACUCAGGCCGCGUGGGUCCUUGGCAGAUGGCAGAGGCGGCUUCCCAGUCCCCCACCUGGCACUAGAGGGACGGGGCGCGCACCCAACGGUGGCACGCAUCGCCGAAUUUUCCUGAAUGCCGCUGUGGCACAUUCCUGGCCUUUGCAGUUAUUAGGAAAUGAGAGGAUCUUUUUUCCUUCUACUCUCCCCUCCCCCUGCCUUCGUUUUUCUUCCAGGCAUGGAAUUAUCUACUUUAGCAGUUCAAAAGACAUUCCAUUCCCAUGACAAAGACAGAAAGGGGUGAUGUUGGCAUACUGUAGCCCUCUUUCUCAUAGGGAGACUUGAGCAAUAAAUCAUAAUGAAUGAGA
rnacentral:lncRNA from 1 species